GACGAACGCUGGCGGCGUGCUUAACACAUGCAAGUCGAACGGAAGGGCCCUGCUUUUGUGGGGUGCUCGAGUGGCGAACGGGUGAGUAACACGUGAGUAACCUGCCCUUGACUUUGGGAUAACUUCAGGAAACUGGGGCUAAUACCGGAUAUGAGCUCCUGCUGCAUGGUGGGGGUUGGAAAGUUUCGGCGGUUGGGGAUGGACUCGCGGCUUAUCAGCUUGUUGGUGGGGUAGUGGCUUACCAAGGCUUUGACGGGUAGCCGGCCUGAGAGGGUGACCGGCCACAUUGGGACUGAGAUACGGCCCAGACUCCUACGGGAGGCAGCAGUGGGGAAUAUUGCACAAUGGGCGGAAGCCUGAUGCAGCAACGCCGCGUGCGGGAUGACGGCCUUCGGGUUGUAAACCGCUUUCGCCUGUGACGAAGCGUGAGUGACGGUAAUGGGUAAAGAAGCACCGGCUAACUACGUG
rnacentral:rRNA from 1 species